rnacentral:rRNA from 1 species
GACGAACGCUGGCGGCGCGCUUAACACAUGCAAGUCGAGCGAGAACCAGGGCUUCGGCCCUGGGGACAGCGGCGAACGGGUGAGUAACACGUGGGUAAUCCACCCUCGGCACCGGAAUAGCCCGGGGAAACCCGGAUUAAUGCCGGAUGGCCCGCCGGCCCCGAGGGGCUGGCGGAAAAGGUAGCUUCGGCCUCCGGCCGAGGACGAGCCCGCGACGGAUUAGCUUGUUGGGGGGGUAACGGCCUACCAAGGCUGCGAUCCGUAGCUGGUCUGAGAGGACGUUCAGCCACACUGGGACUGAGACACGGCCCAGACUCCUACGGGAGGCAGCAGUGGGGAAUCUUGCGCAAUGGGCGGAAGCCUGACGCAGCGACGCCGCGUGGGGGAAGAAGGCCUUCGGGUUGUAAACCUCUUUCAGGAGGGACGAAGCCACUCGGGUUAAAAGCCCAGAGGGUGACGGUACCUCCAGAAGAAGCCCCGGCUAACUACGUGACAGCCGCCGCCGUAA